GUUUGAAACCAUUCUUAACUGGAGUUAUCAGAAGCUGAGCAGCAGCAGCAGCAGCAGCAGCUUCAGGCAAAACUUGGGCCAGGCUGAGCAGGCCCAACCAUCCUUUGCUUCAUGAGUUCGACAAAGUAUUUGGAGCUUAUUGUUGCAAGAGAACAAAUAUUAAAUUUUACAGUGUAAUCUCCAAAUGAAAAGUCUGCAAACAAGCUGUAUGUUCUCCCACUAAUAAACCCUUAGGAGUAUAACUCGAAAUCAGUUACUAUCGUCAAAUCUAAACCAUCAUAUAACUAGCUUAUUUUCAUGGAGCAUAAUUGAGGAGCCAAGAUGCUGGAUGAGAAAGCAGGCAAUCAAAUGAAAGGAUUCUCAGGUCAAAACUUUCAUAGCACCAUCAAACAAUUAUUAAGAGAACAGAAAUUUCAUAAACUUAAAUAUGUUAAAAGAAAAUUACCACAGCAAGAUCUGCAGAACAGAAAUUUAGAAGUGGUUUAGUAUGUGCUUAGAGUUUAAUCAGAAAGGAAAUACUCUUCUCAUUAGUUAUCGAUUCCACUCACAUUUC